GUAACUUGGAUUCGGAAACGUCUCCUGCUACUGCCAACAGCUAGGAGCCCGAGGGAGGAGAGGCGAGCAAUGUUGUACUUGCCACCUCAUGUUACCAUAGAUCUUUAGGGCAGAGCACCAGAUGCCUCGUAUUAUGGGUUUGGUUGCUAGGUAGGUAAGAAUACCAAUCGCAGCACGAGGAGGAGAUCACGGAUACAGGCCAGCACAGAUACUUGAAAGAAGGAGUUACUGAAUUGGAACGAAUAUGUCGCCUGCUAAACUUGUCGAUCAGCUGAUUAUUUAUUACACCAUUCAGGCAAUAGCAGAAAUCCCGAAGGUUGCUUCUUUCAGGAUGCCUGAUGUUUGAUUCACGCUGGAUUUCGUUCUCCAGAGAUGCACAACGCGAUAAAUGCAGCAAUUUUCUCCAAUGGGCAGCUUUGAAGAACAUGGCAAUUUCAAGCUGCUGGAUGUUAUUUAGUGUAAUAAGAAAUAAAGCGAUCCUAUUUCUGAAA